rnacentral:rRNA from 1 species
UAGGGAAUCUUCCACAAUGGGCGAAAGCCUGAUGGAGCAACGCCGCGUGUGUGAUGAAGGGUUUCGGCUCGUAAAACACUGUUGUAAGAGAAGAAUGACAUUGAGAGUAACUGUUCAAUGUGUGACGGUAUCUUACCAGAAAGGAACGGNUAAAUACGUACCAG